rnacentral:ncRNA from 1 species
AUAAAUGCAAAGAAGAGGAAAGUAGCUUUAAGAAUACUUUUACAGAGAGUUUCUAUUGGUGAGAGGAAGCAAAGGAUAUUAAAGUGAAAAUGGCCUUGGAGUGAUGCACCGAGAUUUUUAUUAUAAAAAUUAAGGCUGCAACGGGUUCACCCGUUAUAGUGAUAGAGUAUAAUCAUAUGGUUUAUAUGACGUACUUGAUGAGGUGCAUAUUGUGAGAUAUGUAUGAAGUAGGAUGGUAACACGGAGUUUAACUCUCGUUCCUAAG